rnacentral:miRNA from 1 species
ACAAUGAGAUUCCUCGACUUC